rnacentral:rRNA from 1 species
CAGCAGCCACGGGAAUACGUAGGGUGCAAGCGUUAAUCGGAAUUACUGGGCGUAAAGCGUGCGCAGGCGGUUAUAUAAGACAGAUGUGAAAUCCCCGGGCUCAACCUGGGAACUGCAUUUGUGACUGUAUAGCUAGAGUACGGCAGAGGGGGAUGGAAUUCCGCGUGUAGCAGUGAAAUGCGUAGAUAUGCGGAGGAACACCGAUGGCGAAGGCAAUCCCCUGGGCCUGUACUGACGCUCAUGCACGAAAGCGUGGGGAGCAAACAGGAUUAGAUACCCGUGUAGUCCCUGUCUCUUAUAA